CGGGUGUGACAGAACCACAGAAGAUCCACCACCAUCAGGACCAUCACAAGGGCCCCAUAGAGGAGGACCACCAGCAGACAGACUGGUCAGCUACUAUGGGAAACAGAACGCUUGUAUGACUCGUUGCAAGCAUUGUAAUUGCAGUAGGACAGAUCCGGGAAAUCGGAAAGACGGGGGCAGUGGAAACCGGAGUGGUGCCUUCCUCGGGCGUCUGAGUAGCCCUCACAGAACAUCGCGACACUGCGGGGGUUCCUUGGGGAUGCCGUCUUACUGCUUGCUACAACAGAGAAGACAGAGGCGAAUCCUACUUCCUCCGUAAUGACAAAGCAAUUCAGAGAUACAGAACGAUGUCAGCUGAGAGUCCCAGCUUAGAGACCUGUCACCUCCCGUGCUUUAAUCAGUUGGGUUUUACA